rnacentral:SRP_RNA from 1 species
GCUGGGCGUGGUGGUGCAUGCCUGUAAUCCCAGCUACUUGGGAGGCUGAGGCAGGAGAAUUGCUUGAACCUGGGAGGCAGAGAUUGCAGUGAGCCAAGAUCACGCCACUGCGCUCUAUCCUGGGGGACAGAGCAGGACUCUGUCUCGA